AGUUCUGCUUCUGAAGCUGGAAGGGGCUUUUCGGUUGUAACCCUUGGGUUAGUUUCAGUUACUUCUUUGCUAGGUUGAGGAAAGGGUGGAAGCGCCUCCUGCAGCCACGAAUAUCCUCCAGUGCCUGAGAGAAAACGGCCUAAUCGAAAACGUCCGCGGCAUACAUCCAUUCUUAAAACUUGAGUGGCUGCUUUUCUGGGUGGAAAAGAGCGGUAUCAGACAGGGUGAGCAGUCGGGGAACGGAUGAACAAAGACUUGCACCGUGGCCCUGA
rnacentral:lncRNA from 1 species